GUGCCCCGGCAGGGCUGGCUGUACCUGACGGUCAACCACCUGUGCUUCUACUCCUUCCUGCUGGGGAAGGAAGGUGACCAUUGUCGAAAAAGCUGACAGCUCCAGCGUGCUGCCCAGCCCCCUGUCCAUCAGCACCAAAAGCAAAAUGACAUUCCUGUUUGCCAACCUGAAAGACCGUGAUUUCUUGGUUCAGAGGAUCUCUGACUUUCUCCAGAAAACACCAUCCAAGCAGCCAGGCAGUAUCGGGAGCAGGAAAGCCAGUGUUGUGGACCCUAGCACAGAG
rnacentral:sRNA from 1 species